GACAGAGGGUGCAAACGUUGUUCGGAAUUACUGGGCGUAAAGCGUGUGUAGGCGGCUGCGCAAGUCGGAUGUGAAAGCCCCGGGCUCAACCCGGGAAGUGCACCCGAAACUGCGUAGCUUGAGUACCGGAGAGGUUGGUGGAAUUCUCGGUGUAGAGGUGAAAUUCGUAGAUAUCGAGAGGAACCCCGGUGGCGAAGGCGGCCAACUGGACGAGUACUGACGCUGAGACACGAAAGCGUGGGGAGCAAACAGG
rnacentral:rRNA from 1 species